rnacentral:lncRNA from 1 species
UGAGUUCGAUUCCUGGCAAUGUGUGUUUUCUGAUUUAAUUUUUGAUCUUCUCAUUUACCUGCCAUGUAUGAGUUCGACUCCAGGCAUUAGCAUGUUUCUGAUUUGUUUUUUAGCGCUUUGCCAACCUUGUGAGCGUGGGUUCGAAUCCUGUUGAUAUGCAUUUUGCUGAUUUUCAUUUGAAUUUUCGUUUUCCCUCCUAUUUUCAUACAUGAUCUAUUUUAUUUUCUUCACUUUCAAAAAAUCAUAAAAAAU